CAAAAAUCUUCUGCAACAAUGAAGGCUUGGGCUGAUGACCAGUGGCUGAAGAACUUUUGGAUGGUCCACAUUUCUGCAUCUUUGUGCAAAACUCACCAAAAUAAAAGCUGCACUGACAGUGGAGAAGAAAAAAUAAUUGUACUACGGGGAUCUGCAACACCAGAUUAUUAUUGGUCAAUCACUGCUCUCUCUCCUAAACUAAGAUGGAAUGGAUUUCUUUAAUAUUCAAGACUGUGAGCUAAGAUCAUCAGUGAAGACUCAGGAGUUCAAGCUUCCUGGAGUGGGGGUUUCUCUAUUUCAGAUUCUUCAGAUUUCCAGACAACUAUUUUCUCCAAAAAAGUUGCACCAAGCAAAAAAUUACCUCAAUACACAUAAUGGCAAGGAAAUCUUUUGAAGAAAAAAUUGCAAAUGUUUUAGCAUACAUAAGGAGUAGCACAUAUCCUGAAGGAAUGAAUAAAGUAGGCAGACUGAACCUGCGUCGAUUUGCUGUCAACUUUUCAUUGGAAGAGGGGAGAUUGUUCCAUUCAGCAAAAGGAAGAAAGGUUGUUGUUGUACAUACCAUGAAAGAAGCCCUGCAACUCUUUAAAAGGUAUCAUGACAGUCCAGCGGGUGGACAUCUAGGAAUAUUCAAAACCAGGAAUGCGCUGACAUCAAAAUGCUAUUGGCCAGGGAUGACAAAAGACAUUGCCAAUUGGGUAUGUAAAGUAAUGAAACAAAAUCCUGAUGAAUGGUGUUUACAAUUGAAAUAGAAGUACAAAAUGAAUGAAAGAAAUAUAAAAGUAUAUUUGGUGUGCAAAUGUGAACUCUGUUCCCUUGUGAUACUAUUUCCAUAACGAAAUGUUCAUGUCAUCAUAUUGUUCCAUCAAAAACAGGUUGCACAGUGUCUGACUUGCCAGAAAGAGGGAAAGCAAUCAA